rnacentral:rRNA from 1 species
GACGAACGCUGGCGGCGUGCCUAAUACAUGCAAGUUGAGCGAUGAAGAUUGGUGCUUGCACCAAUUUGAAGAGCAGCGCACGGGUGAGUAACGCGUGGGGAAUCUGCCUUUGAGCGGGGGACAACAUUUGGAAACGAAUGCUAAUACCGCAUAACAACUUUAAACAUAAGUUUUAAGUUUGAAAGAUGCAAUUGCAUCACUCAAAGAUGAUCCCGCGUUGUAUUAGCUAGUUGGUGAGGUAAAGGCUCACCAAGGCGAUGAUACAUAGCCGACCUGAGAGGGUGAGCGGCCACAUUGGGACUGAGACACGGCCCAAACUCCUACGGGAGGCAGCAGUAGGGAAACUUCGGCAAUAGACGAAAGUCUGACCGAGCAACGCCGCGUGAGGGAAGAAGGUUUUCGGAUCGUAAAACUCGGUUGGUAGAGAAGAACGUUGGUGAGAGUGGAAAGCUCAUCAAGUGACGGUAACUACCCAGAAAGGGACGGCUAACUACGUG